ACCUUAUGCAGCCAAGUUUGAGUGUUGAGACCUAGCAAAAUCUGGCCUGGGGAGGUAGGGUUGAUCACUGGGACAUACUUCUCGAAGUUGCUGUGCCGUGAAAUGCAGGUUGCCAGUUUCCGACACUUUUGAGCCUCCUGUGUGUUUUACAGCUGUUUGACUGUCUGCGAGAAGCCCUGUAGUGAUGGUAGCAGAACCUCCCUGGCCUGGCAUGGCUUGCUCUGUAGCAAGCAAAGGUGAAAAAGCUCUCUUGGUGCCCUUUCACUAAGAGCCUUCCUGGAAAGGCUUAGUGCAGGCAGGAAGUACGGAUCAGGGUAGUGAUAUGCUUACCUUUGAAAACGGGUGCUGGGCACCAUGAGAAUGUAGAAGAUAGGCUCUUCCCAUUCCUUCUUCCUGACACAGGUUUUCAUAGUUUAAGAAGAGGUGUGAAAUGGUGGAGGGAGGCAGCCUCUUUGCAAGAAGCCUGAGAAGAGAGCGCACUAGAGGAAGGGAUCCAGUGGCUCUGUUCUGCAUGACAGCCCCUGCCAAGCCAGUCUAUGCUCUAGAAAGGUUCCAAGUCCAAUCUUACAGCUUAGGAAGUGAAACCAGGAGCUAGAAUUCAGAACAGCUUAGGAAGCAAUACCGGGAGCUAGAAUACAGAACAAGAGUUGGGAGCAAGGAAUUUGGAGGAGCUCUUGAUGAGGCUUCUGUCAUUUUCACGGUCACACACAACCCAGCUGGAAACCACAUCAGUGAAAUUUUCACAUUACCCUUUGUCAGAUACCUUGUCAUUGUUUGCUAUUUAGACCGGCAGCUCUCUUGCUUCUCCAGGAGGGUGUUCAAAUUCCACAUCCAAUAAACAAACCUGCCAGCAGCAUCCUGAAAUACACAGGGCUGUACAUCUCAAGCAGUUACAACUAGUAAGGGCUUGCUGUUUGCUGCUGCCUUAGGCUCUCUGCAAGGGUGAGAUGCGUCACACACCACUGAACUACAGGAAAAACAAAGGUCUGCGGAAAACAGAAAUAUAACAACUCAGCAUGGAAGCAUCAUGUAUGAGGUCUCAUUUAGAGCCAGGGACUUCUGACCUCCGGUUUUGUGGACUAUCAGCCCUAUUUGUGGUGGACAUCCCUGCGGAUCACAAUACAGCCAGACCUGGAACUUCAUAUAGUUCUUCAACAUGGAGGAGAGGCCAAUGGACUGCCUGGGUGGGUAAAGCUAUCUUAAAUAUAGAGCCUAAAGGGACACCAUAGCUCAGCAAGCCAUUCAACCUGGAACCUCAACAGCAUACCAUCUGGGGGUGGGGUGUGCAAUAACAUAACUUUUCAAUUUGUAGCCCUAACGACUCCUGGCACCCACAUGGAGAGGCCCCCAUGGGAUAGCCCCUGUGUGAGAAGGGUGCUCUGGCCUGAUAGCUGAUUGCAAGAGACUGUGGCCCUGCUUGGGAAGGGUUUCUCUUUCAAAAAAGAAAGGGAAUCCAAAGAGUGGUUGCUCUGCAAGAUCAGGCACUGACGUGAAACGACUCAUACGUUCUUGCACAAAGCUAUGGGAACGACGUUACUUGCAGGGGAGAAUGCUGAAUGUAUGAACCAAGCCAUGGAGAGCCUGCUUACAAGCAGCUGGCAAGACCCCAGCAGCACAGGAUCCAAGGAAACUUUCAAAGAAUUGAGAUCCAUCAAUAGCCAGCCAAAUCCCAAGUCUUGAUGACUCCCAGAGCACUGUCCCACAAUUGACAGUAGUUAUGUGAAAGAGGAAAAUUCAGCAGGUGUAGUUUGCACAACAAGCUGUCAUUCCCUCUUCCGCACGAUUAUUAACAGCGCAAGAGCCCUGCCGUCUUUUGCAACCGGCCACAGUGGUUCAGAGUGUGAGUGCAGCAUCCUCUUCUUCGGAAAGGCCUUUUCCUUUCAAAUUCUAUUUCUGAUGGAUUCAGGGACUCUGAGAUUGUGUUAGGGGGUUUCAAUAACUGAGGGGUCAGGGGCUGGGUCACAACAGUGCUGAGGGUAAGCAUAAAAGCUCCUGGUGUCACAUAACCCAAGCUGGAAUUGCAGCAGUUACCAAUGCAGAAUCUGACAGCACUUGGUGUUUGGGAAGAAACACCUUGAAUAUGACCACCUUACUUGACUGCAUCUUGCGGUCAGCAAUUCCUCUACACUGCACCCUACACUG